rnacentral:lncRNA from 1 species
AAUCUUGGAGUUUCCAGUCUCCAGAAUUAUAAGAAAUAAAUUUCUAUUAUUUAUAAAUUAACCAAUCUAAGGUAUUCUGUUUAGCAGCCCGAAUAAUGGACUAAGACAGACGCCUAACAUAUGAUCUAUCCUAGAUAAUGCUCUCUUCGCAUUCAGGAAGAAUGUAUAUUCUGCUUCUGAAUGGAAAAAAACAAAAUCAGGAUCAGGCACGGUGGCGCAUAAGGCCAGGAGUUUGAGACGUCUAGGCAACACAGCAAGAUCCAUUUGGUCCAAAGUAUAGUUCAAGUCUAAUGUUCGCUUAUUGAUUUUCUGUCUUGAUGAUCUACUGUUUGUUCUAAGUGGGGUGCUGAAGCCCCGUGCUAUUAUUGUAUUGCUGCCUAUUUCUCUCUUUGUGUCUGUUAAUAUUUGCCUUACAUAUUUUGGUUCUCUGGUGUUGGGCACAUAUAUAUUUACAAUUGUUAGUCCUCUUGAUGAAUUAACUCCUUUAUCAUUAUAUAAUGAUCUACUUUGUCUGUUUGUCAAUUUUUGACUUAGUCUAUUUUGUGUGAUAUAAAUAUGGCUACCUUGCUCUCUUUUGUUUUCUUUUUGCAUGGAAUAUCUUUUUCACUUUCAGUUUACAUGUGUCCUUAAAGCUGAAGUGAGUCUCUUGUAGGUAGCAUAUAGUUGAGGGGAGGGGGGUCUUCUUUUUUUUGUUGUUGCUGUUUGUUUGAUAGGGUCUUAAUCUGUCACCCAGGUUGGAGUGCAGUGGUAUGAUCACAGCUUACUGUAACCUUGAACUCCUGGACUCAAGCAAUUCUCUUGCCUCAGCCUCCCGGGUAGCUAGAGGUACAGGCAUACACCACCGUACUGAGCUAAUUAUUUUAUUAUUAUUAUUAUUAUUAUUUUUUUUUUUAGAGAAAGGGUCUCAUUGUGUUGCCUAGACUGGUCUCAAACUCCUGGCUUCAAGCCAUCCUCCUGCCUUGGCCUCCCAAAGUGCUAAGAUUACAGACAUGAGCCACCUGGCUCUGUUUUUUUUUUUUUUUUUUUUUUUUUUAGUCCAUUCAGCCACUGUAUGUCUUUUGAUUGGAGCAUUUAAUUCAUUUACACUCAAUUAAUGAUAGGUUUUCAGGUGCUGGUUCCAUGGCUCUUCCUGAGCCGAAAAUAAGGAAACUCCAUAGACCUUGUCCACUGGAACUCGUUCCCAUCUACCCUCCACUCUAUCCAGCCCCAUGAGGACAAGGAACAUGAUUGGUUUUGCUCACUGCCGUAUCUUCCGUACCUAGUACGUAACAGGACAUCAAUAAAUAUUAGUUGAAUGGAAGAUUAAAUCAACAAAAUGGGUGAUGGAUCUCUGCAGUAAGUGGAAGAGUUCUUCAUGGCCCCCAAGGUUAUAUCCAUCUAGAACUUCAGCACGUAAUUUCAUCUGGAAAUAGUGCCUUUGCGGAUAUAAGUUAGGUAAAACUGAAGAUGAGAUCAUACUGGAUUAGGAUGGGAUCUAAAUCCAAUGAAAAUGUCUUCAUAAAAAACAGGAAAGAACCCAUAGAAACACAAGGAAGAAGGUCAUGUGAAGAUGGAGGCAGAGAUUGGAGGGAUGCAGCCACCGGCCCAGGAAUGCCAGCAGCCACCCAGAAGCUGGAAGGAAAUGAGGGAUUCUCUCCUAGAACCUUUAGAGAGAACAUGGUCCUGUGAACAGCUUGAUUUUGGACUUGCCCAUAGCUUGUAUACUCUUACUUUGGAUACAAUUUUAUCCAAACUUGGCUAAACAGUUUCUCAGCCUAUGGAAAAUUUAAAAUGGAGAAGAUUCAACUCGAUUCUUACAGAUUCAAAGCAAGAAAAUGAUGGGAACAUAGGAGGAGACCAAGAAAGCCUAUAAAAAGCAAAAAUAUGAAGUGAACAUUGUGGUAGCUUUAAGAUGUUUAGUGUAGCUGCAGGCACCCUAUACACAUGAAAACCCCCAAGGGGAAUCCCCAUAUCACAGUGUAGUGUGAUAUUUGACAUUCGUGAUCAUCUAGAGAUGUACAGAAAAGGUGAAUCUGUGUUCUGUAUAUUCUGCCUAAGGCAAAGAAAUGUUUAGCUCUCUUUAAAAUAGUUCCAUAAUUUUUUCUAAAAAGCUUUGCUUGAAAACUGUAAGCUUCCCAUAUCUGGAGCAUUUCACUUUAAAUAUUUGGAUAAAUAUGUUAUCUUCUUACUUGGACAUUUCAUGUGUUUAGGGAUUGUCUUCUAAAUUCUUCCUAAUUCAUAUAGCUGCUAACACUUCCCGCAGAGCUAAACCAUUACAGAUAUGAAAUAAAGACCUAUUGAUUU